AUGAACGCUGACAGACUGCUUCACACAUGCCAGUCAACUUGAAUUUGGGUUUUUAACUUAGGUUUGGGUGGCGGACGGGUGAGUAACGCGUAAAGAACUUGCCUCACAGCUAGGGACAACAUUUGGAAACGAAUGCUAAUACCUAAUAUUAUGAUAAUAGGGCAUCCUAUAAUUAUGAAAGCUAUAAGCGCUGUGAGAGAGCUUUGCGUCCCAUUAGCUAGUUGGAGAGGUAACGGCUCACCAAGGCGAUGAUGGGUAGCCGGCCUGAGAGGGUGAUCGGCCACAAGGGGACUGAGACACGGCCCUUACUCCUACGGGAGGCAGCAGUGGGGAAUAUUGGACAAUGGACCGAGAGUCUGAUCCAGCAAUUCUGUGUGCACGAUGAAGUUUUUCGGAAUGUAAAGUGCUUUCAGUUGGGAAGAAACAAAUGACGGUACCAACAGAAGAAGUGACGGCUAAAUACGUG
rnacentral:rRNA from 1 species